AAGCGCUUGUGACCAGACUUGCGUCCGGUGAAUCACCCAGCUCUCGCGGCUGGGGCACUUCGCCGGCUCAGGCCAGCAUCAGCUCGCUGUCGGGGACAAAAGCUUCGGGAACGUAGCUCUCUUCGGGGAGUGUUAUAGCCUGUUGCACAAUACCCUUCGGCGGGCUGAGGUACGCGCUCCGCAAGGAUGCUGGCAUAAUGGUCAUCAGCGA
rnacentral:rRNA from 1 species